AUGAUGAUCAACGUCCCCGGGUCGUGCUGGUGAAAUUUCUACGUUAUACUGCGAGGGAGAAUGUCCUGGCAGCAGCGAAAAAGAGUCGGGGAUUUGAAUGGGAGGAAUGCAGGCUUUCCAUCUUCGAGGAUAUGUCGAGAGAGAGAGCAACGAUGAGGAAAAAAUUCUCCGCAGCAAAGAAGUUACUCUGGGACCGUGAAGUUCGACAUACCCUGGUUCAUCCAGCCACUCUGAAGUUUACUUGGAGGGGAAAAAAGCAGAGUUUUACUGACCACAUGGAAGCGGAAAGAUAUAUAAAGGAGCACAUCCAACUACAAGGAGGUGACAAGUAAAUUGCUGUGACUGGAAAUAUACAAAAUCCGGUUCUGGAUUCAAGCAUGUGCUGAGGCAACUCCUGUCUGCAUGGGAUUCAACAACGAGGUGGUGAUUGCUGGCACAGGAAGUAUCAGUUCUUUAAAAGCAACUCAAAUCACACUCAAAGCUAAGUUGAUUUUCCACCAUCAAUGCAAAGAACAGGCUGUAAAUAGAAAAUUUGGAUUCAACAAUUGCAGGCCUAAAUGGAAUACUGAAAUCCACACUAUAAUUAUAAUCUCAAUUUAUUUCCAUUUAUUUUGCAGUCCUAUGUGCAAUGAAAACUACGAGAUCACAUAAGACAUUGCAAUUGUGAUGACCAUUGUCUGGAUUUGUUGCCUGUCCAUUUUCAAGCAAAUGAUAAUUCAAAAACAAAAAAGUACAGUUCCAGUGGGGAUUCUGUCAACUUCUACUGUAUUUCGCCCUUUGACACUCCUUAUUCUGACCAUCUAUACUCUGGACAAAGAUGUAUAAUAUUGACACUCCCCACAUUGCAGUGAGCCAGCUGUGUUGCCUCUGUGAUAGCACUUGCCUUGGGUAUGUCUUGCUUACCAGUGAGCAGUUUAAGGUUGUCACAUUGGAACAGGUACAGACAACCAAACCUCAGAUAAACAAGUAAUCAAAACGUGCUUAGCCUAUCAACUGUGGUCCACUCCGCUGCCAGGUUUCUCCCAAUUCACCUCUUAAAACCUGGCUAGAGUCCAUCUACUGUUCUAGACCUUUCCAAAAAAGGCGACUGACCUGAUUUCUCCUUAUCGCAGAGCUAAUAUAGGGACAAAUAAGGGUCAAUUAGCCUGCAAGAUUCUGAGCCAAGAAUGUGUGACUGUCUUUAAUUUGCAACAAACAAUGAAGUAGGGAGAAAUGUAUACUAUGCUGCACUGUUGUGUACAGUAUGUAGUGAUAACUAGCCCAUAAUUCCUAAUGAAGCUAAACAUAAUCCUUUAGGGCUGGUUUGAGCUAUUGUAUUAGCAAGUUUUAAGUUGAAAAGCGAGAAAGCAGCCUUCAGCAAAGAAGAUGUCAGACUGCAGAAUAAUGUGAGUAGAUAAUAUGUGACAUCUCUCAUUCAGUCAACUCAACAAGUGUGCUGAAAUACUGUAGGUAUUUCAGGCUUUAACAUCUCUCUCAAACAUUGACAGGAGGCUGUCAUGGUUGAUUCAGUCACCAAAUCAGAACAUAUUUAAUUUGUUAAAAUGUAGGAACAGUAGGAACACUAGUGGGUUGCCAUGUGCUCCCUUUCCCCCCUUGACUUUCAACUGUGCCAACAAGAUAAUGAGAAAAGUUUAUUUAGAUUCCUGAUUCUGGCUCUAUAGUGGGUUAUAUGGACUUUCCAACAGCAAAAGACCCUCAGAAUUGCCAGGGAAAAGUUUUAUAGCCAUUUCGAAAUUGCUGACAAUUUCCAGCCAGAAGCUACUGGCUGAGUCAGACUAGCCAACAACAUUUCUCUUUGUACAACAUUAAAGAAUAAUGAAGACAGUGAGAGCGUAGGGGAAAACAAGGCAUGGUGCAAUUUUUCCAUCCUUUGGAUGUGUUAAUUAGGAUAUUGGUUUGCUAUGAUUCAAUGCUCUUGGCGUCUUGCAAAUGACAAGCAGUUAUCACACUCUAUGUCAUCUCCAUCAGUAUCUUCAUCAUCAUCAGUAUUACCACCACCCCAAACAUUUAUCAAAUUGUUUACAUCAAAAGUAUGUAGUCAGGCAUGCAGCUACUUUUGAAUGACCAUUAAAGUUUGUGUAAAGCAAUAUUAAAUAUGUGUUCUGAGUUUGUCACACCCGAGAAAAAUGUUAACCACCCAGCCAAAAUUGAAUGAUAAAAA